rnacentral:lncRNA from 1 species
AAUACUCCUCUCCCUAUUCUCUCUAUAUUGUUCUUGUCUUUUAUAUUAUUUCAUAACAAUUUGUUUGAUUUGUUUUCUAUUUUUUGGAUUUAUUUCUUUUUCUAUGGUCUUGAGUAAUCGUUUCUGAUUGUUCGAGUUCUCAUACUAACUAUUGUCAUGACUGACCUAGUUAAGAUACUUGUUUAUUUGGGUCUGGGUUUAAUUUGACCCAGUUUAGUAAUUAGAGGGUAAAUAAUAGAGGUUUAAAGAGUAGUUUAGGAAAUUGGGAAAGGAGAAUCUUUCUCAACUGCCAGGGAAACUCCUAGGAAGGUGCAAAAAGAGACUAUUUUAUCAAACAAGCUAGAAAAUCAGGGUUUAAAAUAAAAAUUGGGAAAAGAUAAUUAGUAAAACUUGAAAUUAUAUUUGUUGUCCUAGAGGUCUUCUUUAAAAGGUCUGUUUUCUUUCUUUUGAAGGAAGACUUUAGAGAGUGAGAUAUACCCAAAAACUUAGGGACAGUGGAACAAAAAAUAUUCUGAAAUAUAGAAGAUUCUUGCACCAUUUGGAGGUCAAAAAUUACUGGAAUUGGGUUUUCGAUCUCACUGUGAGUGGUAAUAAAAGGGUUUCAAAAGCUUUUCUUGAUUUGUUUGGUAUUCAAAUGGUUUGAGGAAGCUGGUUUUACUGUGCUUGCUUUGCUGAACUGCAAGCUACUACUAUUGCUGAUUCUUUCACCUUCCUUUUUCUUUGUCUUUCCGAGGUACAUCUUGGAUCUUGCCAAUAUAAGAAGUGUAUUUGGAAGCCUUGUAAUUGACUUAACUAGUUUUGGAUGAAUGUUCACCGAAUACUAGUUUAUAUUCUUCAAAGUUCACCUGGUUGUUCUUUAUUGAAGUAAUCUUACUAUCUUGAACUAACUUUAUUGUAUUCAGUCGUACUUAGAUAGUACCUUUUGAACUGCAUUUGAACUCUUUCUUUAUCAUGUACUUAAUUUCGACUGGUGCAACAUGGAUUAUUUUAUAUGAAUAGCAUCUUCGUUGGAGAAGUAUGAGUUUUCUUAUAAUCCUUUUAUACCUAGCAGUAAUUAUACUCAGUAGAAAUUGUUUGGGAGUUGUUUCUUUCAAAGUUUGGUCUUGGAUGAAAGCAUACAUAUAAAAUAUUAUUUACAAAGAAGCGA